GGACUACUGGGGUAUCUAAUCCCGUUCGCUCCCCUGGCUUUCGCACCCGAGCGUCAGACACUUCCCAGGAUGCUGCCUUCGCCUUUGGUGUUCUUCCAGAUCUCUACGCAUUUCACCACUCCACCUGGAAUUCCACAUCCCUCUGAAGCCCUCAAGUCCUGCAGUUUCCAGAGCACUUCCCCGGUUAAGCCGGGAACUGUCACCCCAGACUGACAGGACCGCCUGCGUGCGCUUUACGCCCAGUAACUCCGGACAACGCUUGCCUCCUACGUAUUACCGCGGCUGCUGGCAC
rnacentral:rRNA from 1 species